GUUUUUAGGUUUAACCCCACAGUUUCUGAAUGAACUGAUAGUUUGUUUUUUUUUCCUGAUCAAUGUGGAUGUUAUAAUUGAUGGUAACAUUUACUGAUCAUAUAAUCAGCAUGACAAUAUAACAGUAUAACAUUAUGACCACCUGACUAAUACUGUGUUGGUCCCUUUAUGCUGCUAAAACUCCUCUGACCCAGUGGUUCAUCAGAACCUCUGGGGAUGUCCUGUGGAUUCUGUGGAUCCUGUGGGUUGCAGGGUGGGUCCUACCUAGACCAGGCUGAUCCUGGACCAUCCCACAGAUGCUCCAUCAGAUGUGGAUGUGGGGAGUGUGGAACCCAGAUGUUCAGAGGGAGAUGAUGCCACAUCUGGUCCAGCUGAUGGAAGGUCUUGAAGUUCUCUGACUGGCCUCGACUGAAGAUGGUCGUCUCACUGGAUUUAAGAGAUGCACAAUGAGGGACGUCUGCAGCGACUGAGAAAGAGUCUCACCACAUCCUGACAUGAGGAAAAAGACUUUUUUGAAGACUACAAUGAGAAAAACUAUCAGACAGCAGACGGCUGCAUUCAAGAGAGGAAGACCAUCAAACAUCCACAUCAGCUGAUGGAGGUCCAAGAGUCUCACCAAACAAACAACCUACAGAGUGAAGACCUCAAAUCUGAUUGGACGGCCUCCUAUUCAGCCACAUUUUAGGCUGUUAGAUUGUUCCAGAUAAGACAAGUACAAGAUUCUUCAGAGCCGUUCUACCACGAGCCUGACAGGAAGAACUCCAACAGCUACUGAAUGUUCCUGUGGUCCCCUCAAGGCUACAGGAGGAGUCCUACGAGGACGAGCCGGUCCACCUGAUGGUGGCCAGUUGCUGCGGUUCAAAGCCAACACCGACUACGUGGACUUCUACUGGACCACACGGAGGCCUUCAAACCGGACCAACAAGUUCACCGACUCCCCGACUCGUGGGUCUGAGGACGCCGCCGAGCCUCGGUCCAGCCGGCCUCCUGUCUGUGGGUGUUUGAGUGCUGAGAGGUUUGUGGAUGCAUGUGAACGUGUCUGUGUUGAAACAGCAGCUUUUGACUCACUAACGCCGGGAAAACCCAAGAAUUCCUUUAUUUGUGACUUCCACUAAAAAAACUGAUGAAAAUAAGUUUGCCAGAGUUCUGACUGAUAACAGAUUAUUAAAUAAUGAUAAUAAUCGUUUAAAUAUUCCUUUAAACAAUCCUUUUAGGUCUACAUUUCCUUUACACUGACUUCUUGGUACAUGUACAAGUAUUUUGGGUGGAAUAUACCAAUAAGCCUAAUGUUCAAGGGUUUUUCUGGGAAUAUACCAUUAAACCAACCUUUUAGGUAAAUGUUCCAGGAUGUUGGGUAGAAUAUACCAUCAGAUAAACCUUUUAGGUCUACAUUGGAAAAUUUUAGAGUAGAAUAUUACUCCAAACUAUCCUUUAGGUCUACAUUUAAGGUGGAAUACUACUUUACACCAAGAUUUUUUUGGUCUACAUUGAAGGAUUUUAGGUGGAAUAUUCCUUUGAACAAACUUUUUAAGUUUAUGUUCAAGGAUGCUGGGUGGAAUAUACCAUCAGACCAACCUCCAAGGUCUACAGUAGUGAAUUUUAGGUGGAAUAAACCAUUAAACUCACCUUUUAGGUAUACAUUGGAGGAUUUAAGGUGGAAUUUUCUUCUAGACCAUCUUUUAGUCUGCAUUUAAGGAUGUUUAGGAUGGUAUAUUCUACUAAACCAACUUCUCAGGUCUACAUUUCAGGUGGAAUAUUCCUCCAUACUAACUUUUUUGGUCAACAUUGAAGGAUUUUUUCUAAACCACCCUUUCGGGUCUAUAUUUGAGGUUUUAGGUGGAAUAUUCCUUUUAAC
ensembl:lncRNA